rnacentral:rRNA from 1 species
CCUACGGGUGGCUGCAGUGAGGAAUAUUGGUCAAUGGACGAGAGUCUGAACCAGCCAAGUAGCGUGAAGGAUGACUGCCCUAUGGGUUGUAAACUUCUUUUAUAUGGGAAUAAAAUGUUCCACGUGUGGGAUUUUGUAUGUACCAUAUGAAUAAGGAUCGGCUAACUCCGUGCCAGCAGCCGCGGUAAUACGGAGGAUCCGAGCGUUAUCCGGAUUUAUUGGGUUUAAAGGGAGCGUAGGUGGAUUGUUAAGUCAGUUGUGAAAGUUUUCGGCUCAACCGGAAAAUUGCAGUUGAAACUGGCAGUCUUGAGUACAGUAGAGGUGGGCGGAAUUCGUGGUGUAGCGGUGAAAUGCUUAGAUAUCACGAAGAACUCCGAUUGCGAAGGCAGUUCACUGGACUGCAACUGACACUGAGGCUCGAAAGUGUGGGUAUCAAACAGGAUUAGAUACCCUAGUAGUC